AACGAACGCUGGCGGCGUGUCUUAAGCAUGCAAGUCGAGCGGCAAGCGCAGCAAUGCGCCUAGAGCGGCGGACUGGUGAGUAACGCGUGGGUGAUCUACCCUUGGGUUGGGGAUAGCCAUUAGAAAUAGUGGGUAAUACCGAAUACGUUCGUCAGGUUGCGACCUGGCGAGGAAAGGCGCUUCGGCGCCGCCCGGGGAUGAGCCCGCGUCUCAUUAGCUAGUUGGUGGGGUAACGGCCUACCAAGGCGAUGAUGAGUAGCCGGCCUGAGAGGGUGUACGGCCACACUGGGACUGAGAUACGGCCCAGACUCCUACGGGAGGCAGCAGCUAAGAAUAUUCCGCAAUGGACGAAAGUCUGACGGAGCGACGCCGCGUGGAUGAUGAAGGCCGUGAGGUUGUAAAAUCCUUUUGUCGGGGAAGAAUAAGCGUGGGAGGGAAUGCCCGCGUGAUGACAUGAACCGGCGAAUAAGCCCCGGCUAACUACGUG
rnacentral:rRNA from 1 species